rnacentral:lncRNA from 1 species
CCUUGCUCCCAGCCCCCCCUUCCCACAAUCCCUUGCCCCCAGCACCCCCUUCCCACAAUCCCUCGCUCCCGGCGGCCAUCUUCCCCCCCUCCCCUGCAGGUGGUGGUGCGUCUCCUGCAGGAGGCCCAGCCCCAGGCCCGCAUCUUCGACGCCAUCGACUCCUUCUUCCCCGAGGGGGAGGCGGCUCCUGGAGGAGCCCACGGCCCGGCCACCCCCCGGGAGCUGGCCCUGGUGGGGGAGGCCCAGGAGAACUUCCGGGAGCUGGUGCUGGGGCUGGUGGCCGACCCCCGGCGCAGACAGGCCUACCUGCAGGUAACGCACCAGUACGGACCAGUAUGGACCAGUAUCAGCCCCACAGUGCUCUCCCUGAACAUCCCACGGCCUCCUAGUGCGCUCCCAGUUCAUCCCAGUAUCCCCCAGUUCAUCCCAGUGCCCUUCUUGUACCUCUCAGUCCCUCCCAGUGCCUCCCAGUGCCCCCCAGUCCCCUCCCAGUCCCUCCCAGUAUCCACCAGUACAUCCCAGUGUCCUCUCAGUUCAUCCCAGUGCCCUUCUUGUACCUCUCAGUCCCUCCCAGUGCCUCCCAGUGCCCCCCAGUCCCCUCCCAGUCCCUCCCAGUAUCCACCAGUACAUCCCAGUGUCCUCUCAGUUCAUCCCAGUGCCCUUCUUGUACCUCUCAGUCCCUCCCAGUGCCUCCCAGUGCCCCCCAGUCCCCUCCCAGUCCCUCCCAGUAUCCACCAGUACAUCCCAGUGUCCUCUCAGUUCAUCCCAGUGCCCUUCUUGUACCUCUCAGUCCCUCCCAGUGCCUCCCAGUGCCCCCCAGUCCCCUCCCAGUCCCUCCCACUCACACCCAAUGGGUCCAUGCUCCCUGGGGAGGGUCUCCCAGUCCCUCCCACUCCCUCCCAGUCCCUCCCAGUGCCCCCCCCAGUACCGUUGAAGGCCACCCUGCGGAUGUG